rnacentral:rRNA from 1 species
AUUGAACGCUGGCGGCAUGCUUUACACAUGCAAGUCGAACGGUAACAGGUUAAGCUGACGAGUGGCGAACGGGUGAGUAACGCAUCGGAACGUGCCCGAUCGUGGGGGAUAACGCAGCGAAAGCUGCACUAAUACCGCAUACGAUCUGAGGAUGAAAGCGGGGGACCGUAAGGCCUCGCGCGAUCGGAGCGGCCGAUGUCAGAUUAGGUAGUUGGUGGGGUAAAGGCUCACCAAGCCGACGAUCUGUAGCUGGUCUGAGAGGACGACCAGCCACACUGGGACUGAGACACGGCCCAGACUCCUACGGGAGGCAGCAGUGGGGAAUUUUGGACAAUGGGCGCAAGCCUGAUCCAGCAAUGCCGCGCGCAGGAAGAAGGCCUUCGGGUUGUAAACUGCUUUUGUACGGAGCGAAAAGGUCCUUUCUAAUACAGAGGGCUCAUGACGGUACCGUAAGAAUAAGCACCGGCUAACUACGUGCCAGCAGCCGCCGUAA